UAAUUAUCUUAAAGUUAUCUGAAAUUUCUUUUUAGUUUUCCCAUUUAAUAGGGGGAUAUUUCACUGUUUACAAAUAUUGAAGGCCCACUCAGUAAUUUUGGUUGCUAAUUGACGCAGAUUACACGGUUGGCGGCUAUGUACCUUGUGGACCACGGUACUUAUGGUUUUUUAACAUCUUGCACUGGCGUCUUGGUAACCUGGGAAAUAACUUUGCUCAGCCUUCUGAGCCAGUAGGAAUUCGGGUUCGUUAGCAUUUUCGAGACUUCCGGUUCAAAAAAAUAGACGCCCUAUGGGACAAAUGAAUGGCGAUUUCCGAAUUCCUUUAAAAUAACAGUUAUAUCGUUGUAAACAUCUUAAUAUAACUAGGCUACUUGCACUUCACAAGCAUUGCCAGGGAACCGCAAGAGCUGUGACGUAAUGUAACAUGCGCAGCAGUGCUUAGCUUUUUGUUAGCAAAAUAAUUGUUUUGGUUGAGAAACGACAUCGGAAUUCAGCGGAUCCAGUGCCAUUUAAGAGAGAAACGUGUCCGGAUAAAAAUGUCCAAGUUUUAAAUGCCAGCUUAAAUCACAGACUGUGAUAGGGACGGUUAUGAAAAAUUCAUUUUUUCCAUAGAGAAAUUUCCCUUUGAACCGGAAUUCCAUAUGUGGGCAAGGAAGCCCGUUCUUUGUCAUGGAGGAGACCUGUUUCCAUUGAGAGAGAAACAGGGGCUUUGUCCUGCUCCGUGCACAGUGAGUACUAGCAUCUCCCCUCAACCCCUGUCCCUGAAGCUCUGCACCUUAUAGAAAGGGAAGGAAUAAGCCAGGAAUAUGUCCGUCAUUUGCCAUCAAGAAAUUAAGGCAUAAUAGAGUUCAGCUCCCCAUCUCACUUGUGUUUUGGAGAUAAGCUUGUUAAGGGUUAAUUGCAAUGCUUAAAAAAGAUGUCUGCAAUUACUUCAUUCUUCAUCUGUAAAACUGGAUAUACUCUGUGAUAGUCACUCUAGGAUAUACUUAAUGAGAAAUACCAGUCUGCAGAUUCAAACUGUAAAUUUGUUCAUUGCCAAUGUUUUAUGAGAAAGGCUGCCUGCCUCUAGGCAUAUGGUACCUGUCUGUUCGGUUUGUCAAUGAGUCAUUCAUUUGACAUAGAUCUGAGCAAACACAUUGUCAUUAUCAGAUCUGUGUCUCUUGGGUCUUAUCAAAUCAAUGCUGAAAUUUCCUCUUUUUUUUUAGCACAUUCUCUCUUCCUCUCUCUUACUCUUUAUCUCUCUCUGUCAGUUUAUGCUGCAAAGUUGAUUUGUGGACUGCAGUUUACUCUUGGAAAUGGAGUGAUGAACAAGUAAAGCCCCUUGUUUUUCCAUCGACAGGACGGCUUGUGCGUUAUGCAAGUUUUUUGUUGUUUUGAAGGAGAUUCAGUUCUCCUUGAAAUCUUUAUGUCUUUCUCUCCUUCUCAGGAAUCUGAAGUAAGACAAAGUUGUAUAGAGCCGAAACGCACAUUUGUGUGUAAUUAUGUUGAUCUGAGUUUGUCUGCAAUGAUGUCAGUAAUGUUAUGUGUUUUUGUUCGUGCUCAGAUGUUCCAGAGAAGGGAGUACUCUUGUGUGUGGUCUUAUGUGCACACUUCAUUAUCUCAGCUGGAUCAAUCAGGCAUCAAAUGACCUGAUGGAGAAGUACAGGGCUGAGGCUGGGAGUACACACUGAGAGCGAGUUUCGUCAGCCCUAAAAGACAAAGAAAGAAACUGGAAACUGAAAACCAGUGAGAGGGAAGAGUGAAGGUGUUUGUUUAUUUGGUUUUGUGUUUGUGUGCGUGCGCUCUCUCUCUCCAUGCGUAAAGCAACAGUGGACACCCGGAAUUGCCACAUCACCCUCCCAGGGGUGUCACAACAGUGUGGUGUGCAACCAGUUAAGUUUAAGGGGGCAAUUACUUUUUCAUAUGGUGUUAUGGAUGCUUGAUAAUGUUUUAAUUUAAAUAAAUUAAAUAAUUUUAGAAAUGUGUUGUGUGUUUACUCGGGUUCCCUUUGUCUAGUAUUACAUUUCGUAUAAAGAUCUGAAACCAUUCAGUGUGAUAAAUAUGCAAUAACAGGAAAUCAGGAUGGGGGCAAAUACUUUUUCACAGUACUGUACAUAAAUGCUGCUGCUGUCUAUCCCAACAGAGUGACUCCUGAUCUAGCCUUUACUAGAGAGGCUAUCUUUUAGCUUUUGUUUUUUAUUUGUGACUUAAAGUUGAAAGCCCUGUAUAUUUUUUACAGGCGAGCCUUAAAAUGUUUGUGAUAAUUUAUUGAUGGCAUAGACAGUGAAAGAGAUGCCCCACGUGUCCAAGAGCAAGAGAGGCUCCAUUGACUCUAGAGACCAGCAGGUAUUUUCAGACUUUUUUUUUAACACAAAGCAAAUCUGAGUUAAUGGAAUAUUUUCUGAACCAACACCCUCUAAUAUCUGUUUUGUUCCAAGAUUAAUGAACAUUGCUUGAAGAACUGCAUUACUGAUGUAAAACAGAAAUAUACCACUGUUUUAAUGGUAUCAUCUUACACAGUCUUUCGUACAGUACAUGGGCAUACAUAAGUAAAAUAUAUUUUGUGUGUAAAAUGUUAAAUUGAUUGCCUGAAAUAAGUACUAAUAUGGGCUGUUAACAGUUGGUGUAACCUUUGUUACUAGAAUUUCUGGUUCCAUGGAAUCAAAAUUCUGGUUAUACCAGCUGAUCUUUUAUAUAAAUUAAUGUAAUAGCCAAUGUUUUGCCCUUUAUGUCAAAGUGUGUCUUUGAACUCAAAUGUGUACAAUAAUCAUUUACAGUAAAUACAUUUCUUUUUGAAA